rnacentral:misc_RNA from 1 species
CUGUCAGCCAAGUCCGAUCCAAUUGCGUCGACUCGAUAAAGAAUGGUGGACGUUUACGUCCGAUUGGACUGCAAUUCGAAAGCAAUCCUUUGGAGUGGAGUUCGCUUGACCUUAAUGUGCCACAGAGCUUACCGAUCCGAGAAUAAGACUCCGCUGCCAGACAAAUCAAGAUUCAACGAUUAAGUACACUAAUUGGCGUACACACGGAUCAAUGUUAAAGGGUAAAAUACUAAAGUUGGUUGGAAGACGCACCAAGACAAAAUGAUGCAAUGAUUUAAGUCUGGAGAUUCAAGAUUUGACGACACAAAGAUUAGAGCAGGCGUACAGUCAGUUCCAGCUUGAAAAAUUAAGGACUAAGGUAAUCGUACCAACGUGUCAAAAUUAAGAUUGUUUUGGAUACGACAGACGUUUUCUCGACAACGGAGUGCCUCAAAGUGAUGUACAAUUCUACAUGAUUGUAAUACCAGUGUGACCGAACUCUUUUUAUCUUCGAGCCAAGUAUCAUAGUAUGAUUUGCAGGCCUUAUUUACGGUACAGAUUAUUCACUCUUCGAUGGAUCACCAUUCUUGUAGUCUUCUUCACAAACGUGUUGAUAUUUCAGCAAAUGGUUCCGCACUUCAACGAGGACUGUUACCUAACCGAUGUUAAAAUCAAGGCCUUAGAAAGAGCAAUCACAUACGUAAUAGAAGAAUACGAGCGCUUCAACCAGACCUAUUGGCUUGACUUUGGUACUCUCCUGGGGGCACAUCGACACGCGGGUAUUCUGAACCACGACGCCGACGGAGACGUCAGUCGCCUUGUUCCGCCAUCUUGGACGGACGAAGCCGAGAGAAACUUCAUCGCGGAGCUAACGAAGCGCCUUACCCGUCGUGGAUGCUCAUUUGAUCAGGAUCGUUCCAUUACUUGUCAAGGUGCACAUGUUGAUUUAGGCCGAUGGAAAAAGGAUACAUCUGAGACGUAUCUGUACCGAUACUAUCCCCCAUACACUUUUAUCCUGAAACCUUUCACCCUCCUCUCGGUCGACUUGACCCUUCCGACGAAAGCUGUGCGUUUCCUUGGGAGGAAUGUUCAAGGUCCAGCCAAGGUGAAUGAGUUUUUGACUUUCCGGUACCCCACCCAGAAAUAUAUGACUCUGCCGUACAAGUGGAAGUGCGCCUUUGGCAGACGUCAGAAAACACAUUGAUUGUUUCUUCUCUGCGUCUUUGUACAAUCAUAAAAGUAAUAAUCAAAUGAGGGCAUAAUUCAAAUCGAGGGGUCCAAGGUUUUCCUGUUUGAAAGCAAACAAAAAUUUUCCUGUUGACUGGUUUGAAUAUAUUGGAUAGAGAACGCUCAUGAUCGCCUAAUUACAUGAGAUAAGCAGACUAAAUAACGUUAAUUUUAACGAAUCUUGAACUUAGGUCAGCAAUUGCAGUUGAGAAUGAUAAUGAUAAGACAUUGGUUUUGUGGUCAUUUUCUCGUUCUAUCUCUGUUUUGCGUAUGUCUUUACGUUAUGAGAAUAACUCUAUAUACAAGAGCCGUGUCUUUGUGUGGCGGGAACAGGGAGUGUGUUCAGAAAGAUAGAUGGCGUGAAGGAUCCCCUUGCUUGCACUCCAGUUAUAAAGAUGACAUCAAAGUGAACUGGAUGACCCGAUUAGGACCCUUGAUUGCAAAGAAAAAAUUAAGCGACUUGAUGUUACCUGGAACACACAACUCAGGUUCGUACUCUAUCCACAAUGCCAGUUACUUAGUGGAACAUUUGCUGGCGUCUAAGAUCGCCCAAGUUGUCGCUCCUAGCUUUUUGAUAGGCUGGGUCCGUAACCAUGACGGCGAUUUCUUCUCCCAGCUUCAGGCGGGAUAUCGCGUUUUGGAUCUUAGGAUUUGUGCAUUAAAAGCAGGUGGUGAUUUCUACUGGUGGCACGGGAUCACGGGGAAGGAAAUUUCGGAAGGGUUGGCCUUAAUUGCCCGUUUUGCACGAGAGAAUCCCAAAGAGCUCAUAAUAUUAACAGUUUCUCAUUUAAAUGAGCCUGGCUCUAUUUGGGGAGCAGCAAAAGUUCCAUGUCGUCUGCUGCAUUACAGAGACUUGGCAAACAUCUGUUUCGGUACCUUGGACCUUACCUGUUACCAGUUCGUUAUUUCAAGGGGACCAACACAGUGGGGAAUAUAUGGAAAACCAAGAGAAACGUUGCAAUUUAUUUUGACGGGGUAGAACUUAGUUCCCUCGGGUUCCCUCACCUAUAUCUGUACAACACAGAGCAGCAGUAUAUCAAAAGUACUUUUGAGUUUAAAACAAAUCCGCGUGAUGUUUUCAAAAGUAGAGCAAGAAUUUUAGCAAUGGACAGGAUACGUUACAAGAAUGAUUUAACUAACAGCGCUGUAGUCGUGACCCAUCAAACAAAAAACCUAAUCGGUGCAGUGUUAGGCUUCCAAGCUGUACAGAUAAUUAUUUUGAUCAUGUUCUGCUUCUUGAGCAUUAAUCGUCUGACUAAGAAAAGACUGCCCCGCAAAGAUUAUGUUUGGGCGAGAACUUUUGGUAUUGUUGCAGUGUUUGUGACUUUUGGUAGUACUUUGCCAUUACUGCUACGCAUGGCGCUAGGGUUUGAAGGCUGUGCGAGUACUUUGUUAGAAAUGGCACAUCUUGCAAACCGCAUAGGAACAUGCUGUUAUAACGAUGGGCAUGUAACCCCCUCAGUCGUAGAGGAUAGAGCAAUCACUUUCGUUGAUAUCAGGAAUUCCACCAGUGCUUCAGUAACUGGUAUAAACGCUAUGUUGCAAUAUUGGUGUUUAGAGAAUUAUGGCUCAUACAAGUGCAAUAUCAUCACUGUUGAUGACUUCCGAUCAAGUAAUGCUGUAGAUGUUGCCAUUAGUUUUAAUAAGAGAUGAAUUGUAAAAAUGCCAGGAAAUAGGUCAGGGUGCCUCUCCUUGAAAAUAUUUAUAUAGUUGAUGUUUUCUCGACCUUGAGCUUUAAUGUUGACUACCUUCUUCACUGCCUUUCGAACUCGCAACAACUUUUGGUUUUUGGAAAUUUGCAAACAAUGAAGCCGUCUAGCUUCCGAUCUGAAACCUAGAGAAAUGGGGCUAUAGGAGACAGUUAAUGGUACGAUACAGGAAAAGCAGAUCUCCCCCUUAGCAGUUGAUCCAACCCAAAGAGCUGGCGGCUCCAGCGUUUUGUCAAAGGGUGGUAGCAGAAAAUGCAGUUGAUAAGUAGGCCUACUUACCUGGCAAGUAUAAAAUGCAAGUUGACGAGGACGAUUCCCCCGUAAUGUGUACGGAUAGGAAAAUACUUGGUUGUUUCGCGUUUCCAUUUUUACAGUAUUUAAACAAGGGGGUAAGAGAGGGAUACCUCCAAACAAAAUGGCGUGCACUUGACACACAUUUCCAAUAGAUCCGGAUGACUUUUGGGUCUAGUUUUUUACUUUAUCUUUAUACAUGUAUAACUUUAACAUACUAGCCCUGUAACAGUCCCACGUGUCAAACACACUUAUAAUAGACCCUUAUAUCCAAGAUACUAAUGGUAGGCAUACUGGUAUGUGCUGCAAUUGUAUUUUUGAUACGUGUGUAUUUAAUUAGAGAAUGAAUAAUGGAUUCUGUUUGCGGUGGCAGCAAGUACAAGUGUUCACGUUGGUAAAUGAGAAAAAGUCCAUGGACAUUUAUGUAUUAAACCAGCCGUCUAAAAAGACUCGACUCAUUAUGCAUAUACGGGUACAGCUGAUGAAUUGCUAUUUUCAUAUUAAAUGAAUAUUUCAAAGCCCAUUCGCACUGACGUAGGUCAUUAAUGGCCAUUCAAGCUUGGAUAUUAGCCGUGCCCUGUAUAACGACCAGCGACUUUCUUCAAACAGGGUUGGCAGGCAAUUUUUAUUUUCUUUUAUUGAUAGUAAUUAUUAUUAUUUUUAUCUUUUAAGCAUGUAAUGUUUUUUUUUUUCAAAUGGACAGUAUAAUCAAAUCACAUUAUGUGAAAUACGUACAUUUUACUGUAAUUUGCUUUGCACUGUUAGUUUAGGUAGGUAUACUAAAAAGGAAAUGUGGUAAUGUGAUUAUGAAUUAAAUAUACAUUAAAUGUUGAACUAAACGUAACUUAACACAAAGCUCUAGAAGUAGCGUCGUUUGAAUACCAUGUGUCGAUCAAACGUGAUCAUAGCCACAAACAGCAUUAAGGGCAGUUUAAGAAAAAUGUGCGUUAUAAAAACAAGUUGCAUAUUUGACUGAAAUGAUAUAAUGGACAAAAAUAUCUUUUAUGUGAAGAAAUAUUUCCUUAAACUUUCAUUGUGUUUGCUCUUUUAUUUCUCACUUUUUUAUU